CCUACGGGAGGCAGCAGUGAGGAAUAUUGGUCAAUGGACGAGAGUCUGAACCAGCCAAGUAGCGUGAAGGAUGACUGCCCUAUGGGUUGUAAACUUCUUUUAUAUGGGAAUAAAACGUUCCACGUGUGGGAUUUUGUAUGUACCAUAAGAAUAAGGAUCGGCUAACUCCGUGCCAGCAGCCGCGGUAAUACGGAGGAUCCGAGCGUUAUCCGGAUUUAUUGGGUUUAAAGGGAGCGUAGGUGGAUUGUUAAGUCAGUUGUGAAAGUUUGCGGCUCAACCGUAAAAUUGCAGUUGAAACUGGCAGUCUUGAGUACAGUAGAGGUGGGCGGAAUUCGUGGUGUAGCGGUGAAAUGCUUAGAUAUCACGAAGAACUCCGAUUGCGAAGGCAGUUCACUGGACUGCAACUGACACUGAGGCUCGAAAGUGUGGGUAUCAAACAGGAUUAGAUACCCCAGUAGUC
rnacentral:rRNA from 1 species